GCUAAUCAGCACCAACAAGACUACCAAGAAACAGGAGGGCUGUGUACUGGGUAAUAAAUCUAAAAGUGGUAGUCCUCCCUGGAACUCUCUUGGUGCAAAGCCAAGUGGUUGCACAUCCAAAUGUGGAAAAUAUCAUACUGCGCAUGCACCAAUGAUGUUGUGAAACAACAGUCUGAUGUGCUUAAACGGGACUUUAAUGAUCUGUUGAACACAGUCAGCUCUCUGAAUGCUGAGGUGUUUAUCAGUGGCCCUCUACCACCAGUCAGAAGAGGAGUUGAGAGAUUCAGCAGAUUGCUGGCACUGAACACAUGGCUCUCAACUGCAUGCACUGUCCAUUCAGUGCAUUUUAUUGACAAUUUCAACUUUUUUCUGGGACUUUUUUUUAAAGCAGAUGGACUCUGCCUUAACAAGUCAGGAGUUAAACUGUUCAUCCCUAACCUAUUUUACUUCCUGCGUCACCCAUCUGUUCCUUCUGCCAAGGACAAGAUACAAGAGGAAUCAAAACAGGAGGAAGACACAACACAGCGUGGCAGAAACCUUGAAGGAGAGCUACCCCAGCCCCCGUCUGAAGAGAGCUUUAAUCAUCAGAGAGAGAAAGAGUCUCCACCCCACUCACCAACAACCACCGGUGAGGAUUUACCUUCUUCACCCCAUAAACCCCCCUGGGCACCCACUUCCACCACUGGCUUUAAGUCCUCAGCCAGUUUUGACACAUUUGUCACAGUAAUGGCACCCAGCCCCUCCCCCCCUUCUGCGACGGCCUCAGAAUCAUCCUCUGUCUCCCCAGCCUGAUUAAAGUACAGCAGUCCAGUUGCUUGUGUACAAAAUACAGCAGGCUCUAACUGAUAUCUGCCGGGCCCAGGCUACAAGGCUAAUGGCACUCAUGACUCUUCCCAGGACAAGCCAGGCCCUGUGUGCCAGCAGUUUGCUCAGUUCCUGUCUUGAUAGGUCUCUCUGAAAAAUCUAUCAGACAGCUGCAGCUGAUUCAGAACUCUGCUGCUUGUGUCCUC